CUUUAGAGACCCUGCCUGGUAACAGAGGGGUGGCUCAGCAGACCCCACCGCAACACGUGCUCUCCAUGAAGGAGAACACACUUUACAAUAGGUCCUUUUUAUGCUUCCAUGCAUGUAAGAUAUCUAUGCUCUGGAAAAAGAUGCAAAGCAGCCCUUCUGCGGGAAGAAAAUAUGUUUCCGUGUAGCACAUCUUUUCAAUUCAGCAGCAGGAAUGCCAGGAACAGAGGAGAGAAUUAUAAUGGAGACCUGUAAGUAACUGGUUUGCAUCCUGCUAUUUGCAGGUACAGCUAGUCUUUAAGGGAUGACAAGAUUAUUGUGUUUGCAGCAAGAGAUUGAGACAAUUUUUCCUUGGGAAGUGAACUAGUCAAAACUGUGCCUUGCUGCCUCACUGGAGUCUCACCGAUCAUCUUUCAGAAUAGUUAUGUUGGAUGUGAGAUCUGCUAUUGCUGCAGAAUAGGGUUGCCAUAUUUCAAGAAGUAAAAUUAUGGACACUUGGAAUUCCGGACAUAUAGAUGUGCAUCCGUUUCAAUGGCUGUAGCCUUUGCCUUUGUCUCAAUCUCUCACAAAAAGUGUUAGUAUCAAGACAGCAAAAUACAUAGAUAAGGCACAUGCUGUACUGUGACAGAAAUACAUCCUGACACUAGUUCAAUACUUUGUUCAGUUUCUGACGUAUGACCUGCCCUCGUGAGGGACAGGCAUGCAGAUUGGAACAGGCCCAAGUAAUGGUAAAUAAUGUCGCAUGCAGACUGGUUUCCUGAUGAGAAGCAGCUGUUUUCCUUACGCUUUAUCAGCCAUGGGUUAAAAAUUUUCCAUUUCUAAAAAUUGUCCAUUGGAAAAGAUAAUUUUGAUCAGGAAAUUACAGAGCCUGUGGGAAAUCAAGGAUGCAUUUUUUGUUGCUCUAAAGCCAUGCCUUUGUUGUUUAGUUGCUUAGUCGUGUCCGACUCUUCGUGACCCCAUAGACCAGAGCAUGGCAGGCACUCCUGUCUUCCACUGCCUCCCGCAGUUUGGUCAAACUCAUAUUAGUAGCUUCGAGAACACUGUCCCACCAUCUCAUCCUCUGUGGUCCCCUUCUCCUUGUGCCCUCCAUCUUUCCCAACAUCAGGGUCUUUUCCAAUGAGUCUUUUCUUCUCAUGAGGUGGCCAAAGUAUUGGAGCCUUAGCUUCAGGAUCUGUCCUUCCAGUGAGCACUCAGGGCUGAUUUCCUUCAGAAUGGAUAGGUUUGAUCUUCUUGCAGUCCAUGGGGCUCUCAAGAGUCUCCUCCAGCACCAUAAUUCAAAAGCAUCAAUUCUUCGGCGAUCAGCCUUAUUUAUGGUCCAACUCUCACUUCCAUACAUCACUACUGAGAAAACCAUAGCUUUAACUACACAGACCUUUGUUAGCCUUUAAGGUGCUGGCCUGCACAUCUGAGUUGCUUGAGAGGAAGGAAUAGUAUCAACUGGACCCUUAUAAAUCUGGGACUACUUUAAGGGGCAUGUGCUCACUCCAUUAUAUGAAAAGAUUGGCCAGAUAGGAUCCAAAGUGACCCAUAUGCAUAUAGCUGUCAAAGGCACAGAAACCCUGUAAGUAUUCUGCAAUUGGCUCAGUUUACCUUAUACCCCACACCAGAGAUAUGUCAAGGAUUUGUCUAGAUCCAAACCAGAGAAAUCGUCAAACAGGCACACACUGCUUUCUAAAUGCAGGAGAACACGCAUAUGAACAGACAGGCACCUGUCUGACUUGCUUGCUUUUACAGGGUUUUCUUGAGACCUGUGACUGAAAUAUCAUAGGGAGAAGAACAAUUAAGUUGUCAGCAAGUUCAGCAGUGCAGAUAAGAUCUGUCACUGUUUGAUUACUUCGUGUGAUUUUGAAGCCCUCUCUGUUUGCCUUAAGUAUAGGUGUCUGAUAAAUAUAGAUGCCUGCUCAGAUAAAUAGCCUUGGAAAUAUCCUUCUGUUCGUCUCUCUCUCUCUUUCAUCCAGGUAAACUUUCACUGGGUGGAAGGUGGGUGGCUCACCUCUGCCUGAAGACAUUGGUUCAAAGCAAAUAUAGUUCAGGAAGCAACAUCUGAUAGUGUCUUUGUUAAACUAUUACAAUUAUAGCCUGUUGCUCAGUGGAGCAGAUUUAUUGGAAGAGGGUGGAGAAUGGGUUUAUGCUGCAAUUAUGAGGAUUGUGAUGAAAGUAUAAUAGCUUCUUCUUUACUUGUUUCCAGUGUAUUUUCACGUCAUGCUCACUAUAUUUCUAUAACACCCUUUUUGAAACUCAGCUUUGUUUCCUACUUUCAUUUAAUAAGUUAGGUGCUAGCUACUAAUUCAUUCAAGUUUUAAAGUGAAGCAAUAGUAGUAGGAACCAAGUUUUGAUUUUUUUAAAAAAAUAUAAAUAUUUUUAUUCAUUUUCAGGUCCACUGAACUAUACAAGCAACAAAGAAUAUCACAAGACGUUGGUCGUUACAACUGCCUACGAGAAUAAAAGUUAUGAGUGUCCCAAAUGUCUCAGUUGAAUAAAUCAUCCCAUAAGCUCAAAUGAGAGUGUGGUGGUGAUUUUUCCUGGCCUUCUGUUUCCAUGUAGUCCAGAAAUGGUUGCCAAGUGUUGCAAAAGCAAUGGGGUUUUAAUUCUGUUGCCUCCUGAGGGUCACUAACUGGGAACUGUUAUGUAAUUGAAGGGCAUCUAAUAGGGUUGCCAUACAUCUGGAAUUUACCGGACAUAUCCAGAAAACGUCAGCAGUAUCCAGGCGGAAAUCGGUAUUAAAUGUCUGGGAAAAUCCAGAUGUAUGGCAGCCCAUUUUUCCAUAGACAUAGCUCAAAACCCCCGGCAAAUUUGUACCUUUUCUAUCCGUAUUUUCACUUUUUGAAAUAUGGCAACCCUACUAAUAACCAUUGGGGCGCGGGUGGCGCUGUGGGUAAAACCUCAGUGCCUAGGACUUGCCGAUCACAUGGUCGGCGGUUCGAAUCCCCGCGGUGGGGUGCGCUCCCGUCGUUCGGUCCCAGCACCUGCCAACCUAGCAGUUCGAAAGCACCCCCGGGUGCAAGUAGAUAAAUAGGGACCGCUUACCAGCGGGAAGGUAAACGGCGUUCCGUGUGCUGCGCUGGCUCGCCAGAUGCAGCUUGUCACGCUGGCCAUGUGACCCGGAAGUUUCUGCGGACAGCGCUGGCUCCCGGCCUAUAGAGUGAGAUGAGCGCACAACCCUAGAGUCUGGCAAGACUGGCCCGUACGGGCAGGGGUACCUUUACCUUUACUAAUAACAAUGUGAAACUUGCUGGUGAAGUAUCCUGCUUCCCUGCGUCCAAAAUUCUAGUCGGCUAAUUCCUCACUGCCUGCUGUAAAUUUCAUAGUUCUGGAGUUCUGCAACUCUUGCAAAUCCCUCUCUACUGAGGAUGUUAUUCUUUCAAUAAACCAAGUAUCUUUUUAGCAAAGCCACUACACUUGCAGGUCCCUUGUGCCCCCACCCUUGGGAGGUGAGCAAACCUAACAUGUAUGGUGGACCACCAGCCUUGUGGAAGCAAAGAGGAUUAGACGAGAUCAUGGGGGAUAAGGCUGCCCCUGACUGCCUGGCAUAUUCUCCCUCCAUAGUUGGAUGUUGGGAAUAGCAGGUGGGCAGAAGGUUCUUGUGCCAGGGUCCUGUUCAGGAGCUUCCCUCAGGUAUCUGCUUGGCCACUGUGAACGCAACACUCUGGCUAAUAACUGUUAGUGAAUAUAUAAUCGGUAUGAUGCCAUUCAAAAUAUACGAAUAAAAGGUAAAGGUAAAGGGACCCCUGACCAUUAGGUCCAGUCGUGACCGACUCUGGGGUUGCGGCACUCAUCUCACUUUAUUAGCCGAGGGAGCUGGUGUACAGCUUCCAGGUCAUGUGGCCAGCAGGACUAAGCCACUUCUGGCGAACCAGAGCAGCACACAGAAACACCAUUUACCUUCCCGCCGGAGCGGUACCUAUUUAUCUACUUGCACUUUGACGUGCUUUCGAACUGCUAGGUUGGCAGGAGCUGGACCAAGCAAUGGGAGCUCACCCCGUCAUGGGGAUUCGAACCGCCGACCUUCUGAUCAGCAAGUCCACGGCUCUGUUGUUUAACCCACAGCGCCACCCGUCUCCCUUAAAUAUACGAAUAAGCCACUUCAAAAUAACAUAUAUAUCCCGUCUCACACAAGUCUCAAAGGAAGAGCACUGAUCCACUACUAUGAUCCUCACUAGUAUGUAUAUUUCAUUGAUAAUUAUUUGCUGAUGAAGACUUUAUUCCGAAACAGUUGAACUAUUCUGGAUACACUGUCCUUUUGAGACCGGAGUUACGUCUUCCUUUGAGACUUUGGAGAGACGUCUUCCUUUGAGAGACAGUUUGGCGUUCCUCACUAUUCAUUGGUUGUUUCAACCUUCGUUUGACUCUGAUACAUAUAACAACUUGCAGUUACUUGUAUAUUUUGUGAGAUGUGUUGUAUGAUAUAUAUUAUUUUGAAGUGGCUUAUUUGUAUAUUUUGAAUGACACCAUACCAAUUUUAUAUUUACUAACAGUUAUUAGCCAGCGUGUUGCGUUUGCAUUUUUGUAGAUUGUCACUUUUUGCAACACGGGGGUUUGUGUUUGUUCUGGCCACUGUGAAAGCAGGAUGCUGCCUAAAAUGGGCCAUUGGCCUGACCCUGCUCAGGUUCUUGGGCUGUGUUCUUAGUGGCCUGUGAUACUUGCCACACAAGAUGAAUGCCACUCUGGUGACUUUGCACCAGCUUCGCAAUCCCUAAGACUACUUGCACACCAGCAGGAAAAGCAGUUCAUGGAGUUUGCCCCAAAAAGGUUGGAGUAGGGGGAGAUGAGAGAUCUUUGAAAGCUUUCACUUCCCCAUCAAUCAAUGUUGCUUUCAGGUGGUGUCAUUUUUGAUCAGGAAAGGAAUAUCUGUAUUUGAAUUAAGAAUACAAUCUAAUGUGACUUGAACGGUUUUUAUGUAGCUCUCUCUCAUAAAUUAAUUUGUAAUUUUUUAUCGUGCCGCUUGUUCUGCUACAUCGGUUUCAAUUCAAACGUUUCUCUUUCUUUUCAUCUCAGAAAAUUGACGCAGUAAGUGCAUCAGAG